UGGGCGUGGCAGGCAGGAGCAGGGCCUCUGAUUGGCGAUCGGUGGAUGUGUCGAUAUGGGCGUGGCUAACGUCCAAGGUGCCCUGGGCGGUUGGUUAUUCUCCCGUCUUUCUCACCUCGAUGCCCCGACAACCUGAUAUGUCUGCUCCCUGGGCGCCAGGAGAUGGGGCGACCUAGAAAGCAUGGCCACCACCCGCAUCGCUCCUGGGACAUCUGUGGAGCAGCGCGGUGCCCUCGGAGGCCAGGGCCUGCUGUCACAGCAUCUUAAUCUGUGUUCCCCAGAGGCUCAUGAGACAAGCUGCUGCCCGCCCGUAGCUCGCCGUCGCACUGCGUGGAGGCCCGGAAGCUGCCGUCUGCGGAGGCUCCGUGCGGCGCCUCCACGGUCCCCCCAGCCCCCGCUCCUCUCCACGCUGAGGCCUCGCCAUUUACCAUCAGCUUGGAAACCGGGCCCUUCGUGAGGCGCUUGCUGCCUUUCCUGUUCCUUCGGGCUCCGCGCGGCCUUCAUCAAGGAGGUCAGCGGGUGGGAGCCCGGCCGGCCACCCGGCUCCCCCGCGUGGCGCCCCUCCCCAGCGCUGCUGCAGCCGGGCUGAAUAAAGGCUGCUCCGCGACCCGC